UAUACCAUUACAUUAACUUUCUUUGAACCCUAAACUUUCGAAUGCGACCAUUAUUUAGGGUUCACAAAGGUAAAAAGCUUUGAAAGAGUAUUGGCGUCGUUUUACCUUAUUUGAUUUGAGUUGAUUUAACGUUUUUUUGUUGGCUUUUUAAGCAUUUAAGUUUGAGUCGAAAUUUGAGUCAUUAUUUGUUGAAAUGACAUCUCAUAAGAACACAACCUCAAUUUUUUUUGUAGGUUAUCGAUUUCAUGGUGCUAUCUAUCAUCAAGGACGUUUUCUGCUGUUUGGGGUCUUUUUGUAGAAUUAGAUACACUUAUAUCUACCAGGCUCAAUGUCACCACGUGACCUUGGCUUGAGAUUCCAGGAAGAGGUUCAAUCGGCAAAUAGAAAUAAUGGUCAACUUAUGUGUCCGGUACGACCUUGACUUAUACCCUAAAAACACCCAAGGCCACAACCGUAUCGUGAGAUCAUCUUGAGAUCAACGUCAGCUAUAAUCUAAUCAAGGUUAGUACCUUUAUUUUGACCUUCACUCUUUUUCUAUAUAAUGU